rnacentral:rRNA from 1 species
CAGUUCGGAUUGAAGGCUGAAAUUCGCCUUCAUGAAGCCGGAAUUGCUAGUAAUGGCAGGUCAGCAUACUGCCGUGAAUACGUUCCCGGGCCUUGUACACACCGCCCGUCACACCAUGAGAGUUGGGAACACCCGAAGUCGGUAGUCUAACCGCAAGGAGGACGCCGCCGAAGGUGGGGUUGAUGAUUAGGGUUAAGUCGUAACAAGGUACC